AGGGCUCUGAGACUUCAGCACAGCAGCUGGGUACCCAGUGCUCCUCGAGAGGCCACAUGGAAGAGAGUGAGGGAGACAGAAAAGAGAGAGAAAACUGAUGAAGAGAGAGUAAAAUGGCAGUGUGGGAAACAAGAAAGGGACAGGAAUUCAGAAGAGUUCCUCCAGCCAGGAAAAUGAAACCAACUAGAAAUAAGUGAAACUGACUUACCUGUGUUAACAGUCCAGGGUGAGUGAGGAACAAAAAAGACAAACAGCGUGUAGGUAUUUCAAUGUAGGGCACCCACAACUUGCUUUUUAAUCCAGUUUCAUUUGCCAUUUUCGCCUCUCUUUCAUCUAAAGAAGAAAGCAAGAAGCAAACAAAAGAGCCCACAUUUUUGAAAAGUCAGUAAUUACAGGCAAAAUGCAAAGCUUAAGACUUAAGAAGAAAAUUGCUCUGUUGAGCAAUAAAGCACUUAGAAUUUGACUCUGUUACGCAAGAAAGAAAUUUUCCAGGCUGGUUGGCAACUGUUCCACUAGCAACUGCAUAGUUAUUGAUUAAUUCAUCUAUUGUUACAUACUUUCAUUAAUUGGAAUAGUUCUUUGCACUACUCUAUCUUUGUGUAGCUUUGUUUUAG